GACGAACGCUGGCGGCGUGCUUAACACAUGCAAGUCGAGCGGUAAGGCCCUUUCGGGGGUACACGAGCGGCGAACGGGUGAGUAACACGUGGGUGACCUGCCCUCAGCUCUGGGAUAAGCCUGGGAAACCGGGUCUAAUACCGGAUAUGACUCCAUGACGCAUGUUGUGGGGUGGAAAGCCUUGUGCGGCUGAGGAUGGGCCCGCGGCCUAUCAGCUUGUUGGUGGGGUGAUGGCCUACCAAGGCGACGACGGGUAGCCGGCCUGAGAGGGCGACCGGCCACACUGGGACCGAGACACGGCCCAGACUCCUACGGGAGGCAGCAGUGGGGAAUCUUGCGCAAUGGGCGAAAGCCUGACGCAGCGACGCCGCGUGAGGGAUGACGGCCU
rnacentral:rRNA from 1 species